rnacentral:rRNA from 1 species
AUUGAACGCUGGCGGCAGGCCUAACACAUGCAAGUCGAGCGAGCGGCGGACGGGUGAGUAAUGUAUGGGGACUGCCCGAUAGAGGGGGAUAACCACUGGAAACGGUGGCUAAAACCGCAUACUAUCGGAUAACCCAUAUGGGAUUAGCUAGUAGGUGGGGUAAAGGCUCACCUAGGCGACGAUCUCUAGCUGGUCUGAGAGGAUGAUCGGCCACACGGGGACUGGAACACGGCCCAGAUCCCUACGGAGGAAGAAGUGGGGAAUAUUCCACAAGGGGCGCAAUCCGGAUGCAGCCAUGCGGCGUGUAUGAAGAAGGCCUUAGGUUUGUAAAGUACUUUCAGCGGGGAGGCGUUACCCGCAGAAGAAGCACCGGCUAACUCCGUGCCAGCAGCCGCGGUAAUUC